CUUAAAAAUGUUAGGUGUCCAACAACAGCCUCUUCACAUUACCUAGCAGAUGCUUUGUGUUCCAUGCCAAACCUGACUGACCUACAACUAUGGGGAAAGGAGUUCAAGGAGGAGUUCUAUUCUACACUGAAUGCAAAGGCGUCAACCUUACAGGAUUCUUUUCCUCAAAUCAGUAAUGGAAAUUUCAUGUUCAAUGGAGAGUACCAAGCGGAUUUUGAUUCAUUCCUGCAGUCACUCACUGACUUUUGACGGAGAAAGCGGUUGGCUCAGACCUGAAAGACAUGUUAAAUCGCCUCUUCGAUGGUGAGAAUGACCUAUGAUGCACAUCACAGCAAUCAGAAUACCUUCGAGGGCCACACAAUGGCAGUGUACAACCAUCCAGAUCGCACAGCUAGAUUAUGUGCUGCUCGAUCGUAUAAAACUAUCUCCAAGACGGUUGUACGACACUUGCUACUGUGACAGUUGUUCUGCGUCGGUUUCCUACACUAACCAAAAUUCCAACUUCAACCUCAGACCUUACAUAUUACUUUAAAGAUAAAGUUAUAAUAUAUAACAAGAGUAAAUGAAGCAGCAACCAUGUUGUACUCAAUUGUAUGCAUUCUGUUCAGGUUCACACAAGUUGGGUAUACACAGUUGGGCCCCGAAAGUUUACAUGCACCUGGAAAAACUCAUUUUACUCAAAUUUUCUCAGCUGCACUCAUUCCUAUCUGGAGUCACUUAUCUCAGAGUGACUAGUGAUGUACUAUAUAUAUAUAUUAAACAGAUACCAUAUUUGUCUAUCUUCCUGAAGAGAAAAGUUGGCAGGAAUGUAUGUACAAUUCAGGGAUUAUUCCAGUACUUGAUUAUGUUUUUGUUUUUUCUUUGUCUUCUUCUAUUUUUAACUAUCAGUAGAUGUGUACCAAGUUUUGUGUGCCUUAUGCUUUGUAUAUACUAUGAACAGAGACAUAAUUUGUCUAUCUUCCUGAAGUGAAAAUUUGGCAGGAAUGAGUGAAAUAGUGAUAAUGUAUACCAGGCCCAACUGGACAUGUAUGUACAAUUCAGGGAUUAUUCCAGUACUUGAUAAUGUUUGUUUUUCUUUGUCUUCUUCUAUUUUUAACUAUCAGUAGAUGUGUACCAAGUUUUGUGUGCCUUAUGCUUUGUAUAUACUAUAAACAGAGACAUAAUUUGUCUAUCUUCCUGAAGUGAAAAUUUGGCAGGAAUGAGUGAAAUAGUGAUAAUGUAUACCAGGCCCUACUGGACAUGUAUGUACAAUUCAGGGGUUAUUCCAUUACUUGAUAAUGUUUGUUUUUCUUUGUCUUCUUCUAUUUCAACUAUCAGUAGAUAUGUACCAAGUUUUGUGUGCCUUAAUGCUUUGUAUAUGCUAUAAACAGAGACGAAAUUUGUCUAAUUUCCUGAAGUGAAAAUUUGGCAGGAAUGAGUGAAGUAGUUUCUAUCUGGCCCAACUCUACAUGUAUGUACAUCUACAAUUCAGGGAUUUUUUUCAGUACUUGAUGUUUU